GAUGAACGCUAGCGGCAGGCUUAACACAUGCAAGUCGAGGGGUAUAGGUUUUCGGACCUAGAGACCGGCGCACGGGUGCGUAACGCGUAUGCAAUCUACCUUUCACAAAGGGAUAGCCCAGAGAAAUUUGGAUUAAUACCUUAUAGUAAUACGACUUGGCAUCAAGAUGUAUUUAAAGAUUUAUCGGUGAAAGAUGAGCAUGCGUCCCAUUAGCUAGUUGGUAUGGUAACGGCAUACCAAGGCUACGAUGGGUAGGGGUCCUGAGAGGGAGAUCCCCCACACUGGUACUGAGACACGGACCAGACUCCUACGGGAGGCAGCAGUGAGGAAUAUUGGACAAUGGGCGCAAGCCUGAUCCAGCCAUGCCGCGUGCAGGAUGACGGUCCUAUGGAUUGUAAACUGCUUUUGUACAGGAAGAAACCCUUUCACGUGUGGAAGAUUGACGGUACUGUAAGAAUAAGGAUCGGCUAACUCCGUGCCAGCAGCCGCGGUAAUACGGAGGAUCCAAGCGUUAUCCGGAAUCAUUGGGUUUAAAGGGUCCGUAGGCGGUCAAGUAAGUCAGUGGUGAAAGCCCAUCGCUCAACGGUGGAACGGCCAUUGAUACUGCUUGACUUGAAUUAUUAGGAAGUAACUAGAAUAUGUAGUGUAGCGGUGAAAUGCUUAGAGAUUACAUGGAAUACCAAUUGCGAAGGCAGGUUACUACUAAUGGAUUGACGCUGAUGGACGAAAGCGUGGGUAGCGAACAGGAUUAGAUACCCUGGUAGUCCACGCCGUAAACGAUGGAUACUAGCUGUUGGGAGCAAUCUCAGUGGCUAAGCGAAAGUGAUAAGUAUCCCACCUGGGGAGUACGUUCCCCAGAAUG
rnacentral:rRNA from 1 species